rnacentral:rRNA from 1 species
UACGUAGGGUGCGAGCGUUGUCCGGAAUUACUGGGCGUAAAGAGCUCGUAGGUGGUUUGUCGCGUUGUUCGUGAAAACUCACAGCUCAACUGUGGGCGUGCGGGCGAUACGGGCAGACUAGAGUACUGCAGGGGAGACUGGAAUUCCUGGUGUAGCGGUGGAAUGCGCAGAUAUCAGGAGGAACCCCGGUGGCGAAGGCGGGUCUCUGGGCGGUAACUGACGCUGAGGAGCGAAAGCGUGGGAGCGAACAGG